rnacentral:misc_RNA from 1 species
GCUCACUAUCGGAUCGUUUUAGAAACAUCAGUGGCCAACAGAUCGCCAGAUCGUUGAGCUGCAUUGGCGGGAUUUCGCCGUCUUCGUUUCUCUUUCUUCGCGGACGAACACGCGCUGGGCCUGCAACGGCAGGAUCCAGGGUCCUUAACGGGAUGUGCGUUAGGGGCUUGUAGCUCAGUUGGUUAGAGCGCGCGCUUGAUAAGCGUGAGGUCGGAAGUUCAAGUCUUCCCAGGCCCACCACUUUCAUCGAGUGAGCAUUCGUCUUCUGGUUACGGGGCCAUAGCUCAGCUGGGAGAGCGCGUGCUUUGCAAGCAUGAGGUCGUCGGUUCGAUCCCGUCUGGCUCCACCAGAUGGUUUGAUCACCGAGAUCUUGACCGUCGUCCGCGAAACAUCACUUCGCAUCCUGCUAGUCUGGAUAGACAGCAGUUUGCGUGUUUUCUGACAUCGUAAAGAGGAGAUCGAUCCGAGUUGGGUCGUGCAGCAUAUCGUUGCGCGAGCCUUCAUUAUCUCCGGAUCAUUUCGGCGCUCGCUUCCAGCCGUGAGGUUGGAUGCGGGUUGUAAAUGAUCCUUUUAGCGAAGCUUGACCGCCUCGCUAUCGGAACGAUCUUACGAAGCAAGCUGGUCUUUCUAGUCAAUGUCCGGCUGCAGAUAGCGUUCAUCGAGGGCGCGUGCCGCAAGGCAAUUCUGCAGACAACAUUCUGCCGAGUGUGUGGACAUUGAUAAUGAGAGCAAUCAAGUGCCUUAAGGGUGUUCGGUGGAUGCCUUGGCGCUGAGAGGCGAUGAAGGACGUGCUACGCUGCGAUAAGCCGUGGGGAGCUGCGAAGAAGCUUUGAUCCGCGGAUUUCCGAUGGGGAAAACCCG